rnacentral:lncRNA from 1 species
GUAGACUGAAUCCAUUCAAGAACAUAGUAAGAAUCUAAGGGAAAGAGAAUAAAAAUGUAUGAAAUAAUGGCUAUAUCACCUAUCCUUACCUUUUUAGUACUUUUUCCGAUUGUUUUCACAAUCAGCAACAUAGUGACCAGUGCCACCACAUAUGUAGCACUCGAGAAUAUUAUUAGAACCUCUAGACUACCUAGUAUAAGGUUUCCC